rnacentral:rRNA from 1 species
ACGCACGCUGGCGGCGUGCUUAACACAUGCAAGUCGAACGGAAAGGCCCUGCUUUUGUGGGGUGCUCGAGUGGCGAACGGGUGAGUAACACGUGAGUAACCUGCCCUUGACUUUGGGAUAACUUCAGGAAACUGGGGCUAAUACCGGAUAGGAGCUCCUGCUGCAUGGUGGGGGUUGGAAAGUUUCGGCGGUUGGGGAUGGACUCGCGGCCUAUCAGCUUGUUGGUGGGGUAGUGGCUUACCAAGGCUUUGACGGGUAGCCGGCCUGAGAGGGUGACCGGCCACAUUGGGACUGAGAUACGGCCCAGACUCCUACGGGAGGCAGCAGUGGGGAAUAUUGCACAAUGGGCGGAAGCCUGAUGCAGCAACGCCGCGUGCGGGAUGACGGCCUUCGGGUUGUAAACCGCUUUCGCCUGUGACGAAGCGUGAGUGACGGUAAUGGGUAAAGAAGCACCGGCUAACUACGUG